rnacentral:rRNA from 1 species
UACGGGGGGGGCAAGCGUUGUUCGGAAUUACUGGGCGUAAAGGGCUCGUAGGCGGCCAACUAAGUCAGACGUGAAAUCCCUCGGCUUAACCGGGGAACUGCGUCUGAUACUGGAUGGCUUGAGUUUGGGAGAGGGAUGCGGAAUUCCAGGUGUAGAGGUGAAAUGCGUAGAUAUCUGGAGGAACACCGGUGGCGAAGGCGGCAUCCUGGACCAACACUGACGCUGAGUGAGCGAAAGCCAGGGGAGCAAACGGG